GAAGAAAAGGGCGUGGGAAAGCGAAGUGGUGCUCGGCUUGUCCUGAGGGGAGGGGGGAGUGGAGAUUUAUUUAAAGGAGGCCAGCGAGAUUUAUCUGGCAACCGCGAACCAGAGGCGGAGACGAGAGAAAGAGAGAGAGAGAGAGUAGAAUAAUGGAGUUGCUCUCUCGCUUCCGCUUCGUGGCGAUUUGCUUGCUCCUGCUAUCAGGUCAAGUUCUCCAAACCCUUUGCGUCAGUGUUGGAAUCAACUAUGGGCAAAUUGCCAACAAUCUACCCUCUCCCACGCAAGUCGCUGGCCUCCUCCAAUCAAUCAGUAUCUCCAAGGUGAAGCUUUAUGAUGCUGACCCCAGGGUUUUGGGUGCUUUCGGCAAUUCUAACAUUGAGUUUAUAAUUGCAAUCGGCAAUGAGAACAUAGUGAACAUGACAGACUCUACAAAUGCCCAGGCCUGGCUCAGGCAGAACGUCCAGCCUUACCUUCCACAAACUAAAAUCACCUGUAUCACUGUGGGAAAUGAGGUUUUCUCUGGCACAGAUACUACACUAAUGUCAAACCUCCUCCCAGCAAUGCAGUCCAUAUAUGGAGCUCUUGUGACUCUUGGAUUGGACAAGCAAGUGAAUGUUUCCACUGCACAUUCAGCAGCUAUACUAGGAAAUUCCUACCCUCCUUCCUCUGGUUCUUUUCGCGAGGAUCUCGUUCAGUACAUUCAACCACUUCUAAGUUUCCAUUCUCAGAUCAAGUCUCCCUUCCUCUUAAAUGCAUAUCCUUUCUUUGCCUACAAAGCAGAUCCAAAUGGUGUUCCAUUGGAGUAUGUUCUCUUCCAGCCUAAUGCAGGAAGCACUGAUCCAAAUACAAACUUGCACUAUGAUAACAUGCUCUAUGCACAGAUUGACUCGGUCUAUUCUGCGAUGAAAGCAAUGGGGCACACGGAUAUUGAUAUCAGAAUAUCUGAGACUGGGUGGCCAUCAAAAGGAGAUUCUGAUGAGCCAGGAGCAAGCAUAGAGAAUGCUGCAACAUAUAAUGGUAACCUAUUGAAAAGGAUUGCAAUGAAUCAAGGCACGCCACUGAAGCCUUCGGUGCCCAUUGACGUCUAUGUUUUUGCUCUAUUUAAUGAGGACUUGAAGCCAGGUCCUACAUCUGAGAGGAACUAUGGACUUUUCUAUCCUGAUGGUAGUCCUGUUUAUAAUAUUGGUUUGCAGCGAUACCUUCUAUAUCCAUCGUUGGCAUCAUCAUCUUCCAAGCUGAUGGUGGCGUACGGGUUGGGAAUUCUUAUCAUAGUCGUAGCAGUGUUCGUCUGAGCUGGUAGACAUCGUAGCACUCCUGAUUGAUAACAGCGAAAAAGAUAAACGAUACGAUAUUAUUUGUUAGUGCUGAGUGAUUCAAACUCUUUUGUCAAAGCUGGACCCGAGAAUAAGGCUCAAAACCUCCGCAGAGACUCAAUGCUUUCCAUGGGUCCAUCACAUCAGUGGUCCCGCAAGUGAAGAGGAAUGGUGCUUUCAAGAAGGACACUGAUGGCAUAGAGAGAGUCAAAUAAGGCAUCGAGGGAAAAUUUGUAUUUGUAAUAGACAUGAAGGAUGGUCAAACUCUCGAAUUCAAUUCAUUUCAGAAUAGAAUCAUUGAUAAAGUACCUGUAUUAGGAACUCUUUUUGGGUUGUCAUCGCAUUCUUUUUGAUAAAUUUUAAUGAUCAGGAUGUCAUGGAUACCAGGAUUUUCUAGGAUGUAGAAUGAAGUCCCUGAA